GUGAGAGUGUCGCUGUCUCCGACGCCGUAGUAGUCCAGACUGAACCAGUCCUGCAGGACGUGGCCCCGGAACUCCAGGCGCUGCAGCUCCCGGAGCAGGCCCUGCCGGUCCUCGAUCUGCUCCUUCAGGCUGCGGACCAGAAUUGCCCACGAGGAUCAACUGAGACAAUCCCUGGAUAAGCACUCUGCAAAUUGUAAAAUAUAAUAUGUGGAUUAAAUAGAUUAUGAUGA